CCCCUGCUGUACUGAUCCCCUGAUAUACUGAUCCCCUGCUGUACUGAUCCCCUGCUGUACUGAGGUACUGAAAUACUGCUGUACUGAUCCCCUGCUGUACUGAGGUACUGAAAUACUGCUGUAAUGAUGCCCUGCUAUACUGAGGCCCUGCUGUACUGAUCCCCUUCUGUACUGAGGCUCUGCUAUACUGAUCCCCUGCUGUACUGAGGCCUUUCUGUACUGAGACCCUGCAGUCCUGAUCCCCUGCUGUCCUGAUCCCCUGCUGUACUGAUCCCCUGCGGUACUGAGGCCCUUCUGUACUGAUCCCCUACUGUACUGAGGCCCUGCUGUACUGAGGCCUUGCUGUACUGAGGCCUUGCUGUACUAAGACCCUGCUGUACUGAUCCCCUGCUGUACUGAUCCCCUUCUGUACUGAGGCCCUUCUGUACUGAUCCCCUGCGGUACUGAAACCCUGCUGUACUGAGGCCCUGCUGU
ensembl:lncRNA